CUACCUACCACCUCGUCACCAAACCCUACCCCGAAACGAGGAAAAAUUCUAGAAUGCAACGGAUAUAUUGGUGACGCGGCGUAACAAACCAAUCAAAUAUCUCCUUUUAGGGAUAUAUGUGCCAUCAUAAUUAUAAAAAAAUAUUUUUAUUAUAUUUUUAUUUGAAAAGAAGAAAUAUGAUUGACUUGUUAUAGAUGAUAUGGUGUAAGUGUGACAGUCUAGAAUUCCUCCGAAAUGAGGGUCCUUCAGUGUAACGCUUCUACACACUAAAUAUCAAAUAGCUCUUCUAACAUGUGGGACCCAUCCACUAGAGAAGUUUAUCACAUGCACCCGGUGCAUGAUGCACUGCACAUCUAGAGAAGUUUACCAACCGUCCCUAGCGUAAGUAGCAAAGAAUUUGAUAGUUGGUAUCCGUAAUUCAAAGUUAUACACUUUGCCGAUAAAUUAGAUUGAUUAUAUCAAAAAAUCUACUCUGUAAAUUAUCAUCAAUUUCAAUAUCUAAAAUUCUAUUAGAAAAUAUUAAAAUCAGAUUCUAACUCAUCAAUAUAUUCCAUUGCAUUCAAAAAGGUAAAGCUUUACAUAUAAACAAUUAUAUAUUCAAGACAAAUAUUUAUAUUUUAUCAAACUGAGUUAUAAAAAACUUGUGAUUCUUUUAUAUAAGCCAUUUUAUUAUUAUAGAUCACGUAUGUAGUAUAAGAUUGCUACAUUUUUAGAUAUUUAUUUAAGAAAAAAAUUAAAAUAUCACCCCUGUAAUUUCGCACUUUCUUACUUUACUAUUCUAUGGUCUAAGAUGUAUCAAUUUGGUAUCCUAUGGUUUUAUUUUUUAUUUUUUUUAUCAGUUUCACUAAUUUUUUUCUUUAAAUCGGUGACAUAAUUAAAACUAAAGAAUACUAAGUGAAUAUUCGAUAAACCUACAUGAGAUAUAUAAAAUUUUUCGUACAUAUUUUAACAAAAUAUUAACGAAUAAGCUGAUGAAAAAAUUAAAAUAAAAUUAUAGGGUACUAACUUGAUACAUUUUAAAUUAUAAAAUACUAAAAUGGAAAAGUGCGAAACCACUGUGAUGGUAUUUAAAGUUUAAUUCUUUAUU
rnacentral:lncRNA from 1 species